AAAUUGAAGAGUUUGAUCAUGGCUCAGAUUGAACGCUGGCGGCAGGCCUAACACAUGCAAGUCGAACGGUAACGGGAAGCAGCUUGCUGCUUCGCUGACGAGUGGCGGACGGGU
rnacentral:rRNA from 1 species